CUCUCAGCACUUCUUUCCUUUUCUUAUUUCUUUCUUCUUCCUCUUUUCUCUCUUCUUUUCCAUUCUUCUUCUUCUUCUUUCCUUGCACCCGAGACACGGUGAGAGACGAGAAGUGAGAUCGGGAGAAAGAGAGAUGGAAACAGAGAAAGAAACCGAGAAAGGGAGAAAUCACGGAGAGAGAGAGAGAGAGAGAGAGAGAGAGAGAGAGAACGAUUGAAAGGGGAAGAACCGGAGAGGGAGCGAGAACUGGAGAUCAAGAGAGGGGGAAGAUUGGAAGCCAAUCCUCCAUGGGUCACCGAUGGCCGGAGCAGACGACGCCAACAGAGCCAGAGGACCCGGUCUUCCGGUGGAUUGCUGGUGGAGCCCGAGAAACCCAAUCCUUCGAUGGGUGGCCGGAAGGCACGAUAUCCAGUGCAUGGGUCGCCGGAGGUGUGAUUUUCGGUGAAAGUAGGGGUACGAUUUUUGGUGAACUAAGAUGGGUUUUCUGGCUCUGAUUUCACCGUCUUCUCGGUGUAUUUUCUGGAAAAUCCUCAAAGUUACGAGGAUGAGGAGUAUCAAGAUUUCCCAAAUGGUUAGACAAAUCCUAAUAUUGGGUUUCGAGACUGUGUUGUCUCCAAUUUAGUGGACUAUUAUUAUUUAAUGUAAUAUGUUUAGAGAUGUUUGUAUUUAAUAGGUUUUUCCAUGUGUAUUUAUGUGUCAACAGUGACACUUGUUAAUGUAUAGUUAAACGAUUUUUGAAUGAACAUCUAGAAGUAUUUCAAUUA